CAGUUAAUAAAGUACGCGUUUCCUUAUUUAAUUUUUGAAAAUUACACCCCGCCGUUGGUGGAAUGUGCAUGGAAAUUGCACAAUUACGUGCAGUAUCGAGUGCCGCACACGACACGCACGGAAAUGUUCCAAUUUCUUCGCAAACGGGUGCAACACCUGGACUGGCACAAGAAACUUAGUUCCUCAUUUCUCGAUUUGGUGUAAGAAGAAGAUAAUUCUACAACACCGAUUUUCGUCCCAAAAUAAUCACCCGAAAGUUCAAAAUUGUGCCAAGUUGGCUAUGGAAUGGACACUCAGAAGUAAAGGGUUUUCAGGCAGGGGUUGAGAUUUAAACAUUUAUCAAACGUUGCAGCAGAUUUUCACCGGUAUACUGAAAAUUCUAACCACUGUCAUCUUCCAAACCACAAAAGCAUCUCGAGCGUGUUUUGCGAGGCACUUUCGACUUUUGGCUUACAAUUAUUUACAAUAAUGAACGAAAAUCAACGUGACAGCAAUAACAAUGCAGUCGUUCGAUUGAAGACAUCCGGAGUCGUCCUGGUCAUAAUCAUUCAUCACGUAAAGCGGAACUUAUCACCGUUAACCACAUCUUCGUCGAGAUAAGUCCUGAGUAAUCUGUCGGCGAGUUUUUGAGGCACCCAUUUCACCUAGAAACUGGAUGCAGUUUCGAAAGCAGUGUUUAUGUAAUAUUCAGUGGACAAUUAAUUAAAAAUAAUCGCUUAAUUACUAAAUUAUGCAGAGAGGACACAUAUUUCCA